UGAAAUCUGGCUUUCGGGCCCGAGUUGUAAUUUGUAGAGGGGAUUUCGGAGGCGGCGCCGGCCUAAGUUCCUUGGAACAGGGCGUCAUAGAGGGUGAGAAUCCCGUACGUGGCCGGCGGUCAAUUCCAUGCGAAGCCCCUUCGACGAGUCGAGUUGUUUGGGAAUGCAGCUCAAAAUGGGUGGUAAAUUUCAUCUAAAGCUAAAUACCGGCCAGAGACCGAUAGCGCACAAGUAGAGUGAUCGAAAGAUGAAAAGCACUUUGGAAAGAGAGUUAAAAAGUACGUGAAAUUGUUGAAAGGGAAGCGCUUGCAACCAGACUUGCUCACGGGUGAUCAGCCCCCCUUCGCGGGGGGUGCACUCGCCCGCGAUCAGGCCAGCAUCGGUUUUGACGGGCGGAUAAAGGCCCCAGGAAUGUAGCUCCCCCCGGGGAGUGUUAUAGCCUGAGGUACCAUGCGCCCAGUCGGGACCGAGGACCGCGCUUCGGCUAGGAUGCUGGCGUAAUGGUUGUAAGCGACCCGUCUUGAAACACGGACCAAGGAGUCUAACAUCUAUGCGAGUGUUUGGGUGAUAAACCCAUGCGCGGAAUGAAAGUGAACGGAGGUGGGAGCCCUCUCCGGGGGGCGCACCAUCGACCGAUCCAGAUGUCUUCGGAUGGAUUUGAGUAGGAGCAUAGCUGUUGGGACCCGAAAGAUGGUGAACUAUGCCUGGAUAGGGUGAAGCCAGAGGAAACUCUGGUGGAGGCUCGCAGCGGUUCUGACGUGCAAAUCGAUCGUCAAAUCUGGGUAUAGGGGCGAAAGGCAAGCUACCCGGUUGAUUCUUUUCUUACGACAAUAUGCUAACAAAUUUUUAGACUAAUCGAACCAUCUAGUAAAUCGCUACUAGAGAUACUGAAUACAAAGGGGCCGUGGACGCCUCAGUAGUCCCCCGUCUCUGGGGGGCCACAUCGCCGGUCUUCGGGAACACCUUUUGUGGGUUACCCGUACUGAGCUCCGGCUCAGUCACAGGCUAAGUUGCGGUGGCCGCGGGAGCCCGCGGUUAGGAUAUAGUCGGCGGGACCUCUAACGGGGUACCCGGUUCGCGAGCUGGUUUCAGCCGAAGUUUCCCUCAGGAUAGCAGUAACGUUUUCAGUUUUAUGAGGUAAAGCGAAUGAUUAGAGGCCUUGGGGGUGAAACACCCUUAANCUAUUCUCAAACUUUAAAUAUGUAAGAAGUCCUCGUUGCUUCGUUGAACG
rnacentral:rRNA from 1 species